rnacentral:rRNA from 1 species
CUAGUUGGUGAGGUAACGGCUCACCAAGGCGAUGAUGGCUAGCUGGUCUGAGAGGAUGGCCAGCCACACUGGGACUGAAACACGGCCCAGACUCCUACGGGAGGCAGCAGUGGGGGAUAUUGCGCAAUGGGCGAAAGCCUGACGCAGCGACGCCGCGUGGGUGAUGAAGGCCUUCGGGUCGUAAAGCCCUGUCGAGGGGGACGAAUCGGUUGCGACCUAACACGUCGUGAUCCUGACGGUACCCCUAAAGGAAGCACCGGCUAACUCCGUGCCAGCAGCCGCGGUAAUACGGAGGGUGCUAGCGUUGUUCGGAAUCACUGGGCGUAAAGCGCGUGUAGGCGGCCCAUUAAGUCUGAUGUGAAAGCCCGGGGCUCACCCCCGGAAGUGCAUUGGAAACUGAUGGGCUGGAGUCCCGGAGAGGAGGGUGGAAUUCCUGGUGUAGCGGUGAAAUGCGUAGAUAUCAGGAGGAACACCGGUGGCGAAGGCGGCCCUCUGGACGGUGACUGACGCUGAGACGCGAAAGCGUGGGGAGCAAACAGGAUUAGAUACCCUGGUAGUCCACGCCGUAAACGAUGAGCACUAGGUGUCGCGGGUAUUGACCCCUGCGGUGCCGACGCUAACGCAUUAAGUGCUCCGCCUGGGGACUACGGCCGCAAGGUUAAA